rnacentral:rRNA from 1 species
CCUACGGGGAGCAGCAGUGGGGAAUAUUGGACAAUGGGCGAAAGCCUGAUCCAGCCAUGCCGCGUGUGUGAAGAAGGCCUUCGGGUUGUAAAGCACUUUCAGUGGGGAAGAAAGCCUUGGGGCUAAUACCCUCGAGGAAGGACAUCACCCACAGAAGAAGCACCGGCUAACUCCGUGCCAGCAGCCGCGGUAAUACGGAGGGUGCGAGCGUUAAUCGGAAUUACUGGGCGUAAAGCGCGCGUAGGCGGUCUGAUAAGCCGGUUGUGAAAGCCCCGGGCUCAACCUGGGAACGGCAUCCGGAACUGUCAGGCUAGAGUGCAGGAGAGGAAGGUAGAAUUCCCGGUGUAGCGGUGAAAUGCGUAGAGAUCGGGAGGAAUACCAGUGGCGAAGGCGGCCUUCUGGACUGACACUGACGCUGAGGUGCGAAAGCGUGGGUAGCAAACAGGAUUAGAUACCCCGGUGUC